GUGCCUACGGGGGGCAGCAGUGAGGAAUAUUGGUCAAUGGGAGAGAUCCUGAACCAGCCAAGCCGCGUGAGGGAAGACGGCCCUAUGGGUUGUAAACCUCUUUUGUCAGGGAACAAAGGCGGGGACGCGUCCCCGGAUGAGUGUACCUGAAGAAAAAGCAUCGGCUAACUCCGUGCCAGCAGCCGCGGUAAUACGGAGGAUGCGAGCGUUAUCCUGAUUUAUUGGGUUUAAAGGGUGCGCAGGCGGUCUGUUAAGUCAGCUGUC
rnacentral:rRNA from 1 species